rnacentral:rRNA from 1 species
UACGUAGGGUGCAAGCGUUUGUCCGGAAUUAUUGGGCGUAAAGAGCUCGUAGGCGGUUUUGUUGCGUCGGCUGUGAAAUCCCCGAGGCUCAACCUCGGGGUCUGCAGUCGAUACGAGCAAACUAGAGUGUUGCAGGGGAGACUGGAAUUCCUGGUGUAGCGGUGAAAUGCGCAGAUAUCAGGAGGAACACCGGUGGCGAAGGCGGGUCUCUGGGCAACAACUGACGCUGGAGGAGCGAAAGCCGUGGGGAGCGAACAGG